AUUGAACGCUGGCGGCAUGCUUUACACAUGCAAGUCGAACGGCAGCGCGGGCUUCGGCCUGGCGGCGAGUGGCGAACGGGUGAGUAAUACAUCGGAACGUGCCCAGUAGUGGGGGAUAGCUCGGCGAAAGCCGGAUUAAUACCGCAUACGACCUGAGGGUGAAAGCGGGGGAUCUUCGGACCUCGCGCUAUUGGAGCGGCCGAUGGCAGAUUAGCUAGUUGGUGGGGUAAAGGCCUACCAAGGCGACGAUCUGUAGCUGGUCUGAGAGGACGACCAGCCACACUGGGACUGAGACACGGCCCAGACUCCUACGGGAGGCAGCAGUGGGGAAUUUUGGACAAUGGGCGAAAGCCUGAUCCAGCAAUGCCGCGUGUGUGAUGAAGGCCUUCGGGUUGUAAAGCACUUUUGGUGGGAACGAAAAGGACUGUGCCAAUACCACGGUUCGAUGACGGUACCCGCAGAAUAAGCACCGGCUAACUACGUG
rnacentral:rRNA from 1 species